UACAGCAUAUUGGGUGCAGUGCCUCUAC
rnacentral:piRNA from 1 species